rnacentral:rRNA from 1 species
CAAUAGCGUAUAUUAAAGUUGUUGCGGUUAAAAAGCUCGUAGUUGGAUUUCUGCUGAGGACGACCGGUCCGCCCUCUGGGUGAGUAUCUGGCUCGGCCUUGGCAUCUUCUUGGAGAACGUAACUGCACUUGACUGUGUGGUACGGUAUCCAGGACUUUUACUUUGAGGAAAUUAGAGUGUUUCAAGCAGGCGCACGCCUUGAAUACAUUAGCAUGGAAUAAUAAGAUAGGACCUUGGUUCUAUUUUGUUGGUUUCUAGAGCUGAGGUAAUGAUUAAUAGGGAUAGUUGGGGGCAUUCGUAUUUAACUGUCAGAGGUGAAAUUCUUGGACCGUCUGAAGACUAACUACUGCGAAAGCAUUUGCCAAGAGUGUUUUCAUUAAUCAAGAACGAAAGUUAGAGGUUCGAAGAUGAUCAGAUACCAU